rnacentral:rRNA from 1 species
UUUGGUUAAGUUAGAAAGGGCGCACGGUGGAUGCCUUGACACUAGGAGUCGAUGAAGGACGGGACUAACGCCGAUAUGCUUCGGGGAGCUGUAAGUAAGCUUUGAUCCGAAGAUUUCCGAAUGGGGAAACCCACCAUACGUAAUGGUAUGGUAUCCUUAUCCGAAUACAUAGGGUAAGGAAGACAGACCCAGGGAACUGAAACAUCUAAGUACCUGGAGGAAGAGAAAGCAAAUGCGAUUUCCUGAGUAGCGGCGAGCGAAACGGAACAUAGCCCAAACCAAGAGGCUUGCCUCUUGGGGUUGUAGGACAUUCUAUACGGAGUUACAAAGGAACGAGGUAGACGAAGCGACCUGGAAAGGUCCGUCGUAGAGGGUAACAACCCCGUAGUCGAAACUUCGUUCUCUCUUGAAUGUAUCCUGAGUACGGCGGAACACGUGAAAUUCCGUCGGAAUCUGGGAGGACCAUCUCCCAAGGCUAAAUACUCCCUAGUGAUCGAUAGUGAACCAGUACCGUGAGGGAAAGGUGAAAAGCACCCCGGAAGGGGAGUGAAAGAGAUCCUGAAACCGUGUGCCUACAAAUAGUCAGAGCCCGUUAACGGGUGAUGGCGUGCCUUUUGUAGAAUGAACCGGCGAGUUACGAUCCCGUGCGAGGUUAAGCUGAAGAGGCGGAGCCGCAGCGAAAGCGAGUCUGAAUAGGGCGUUUAGUACGUGGUCGUAGACCCGAAACCAGGUGAUCUACCCAUGUCCAGGGUGAAGUUCAGGUAACACUGAAUGGAGGCCCGAACCCACGCACGUUGAAAAGUGCGGGGAUGAGGUGUGGGUAGCGGAGAAAUUCCAAUCGAACCUGGAGAUAGCUGGUUCUCCCCGAAAUAGCUUUAGGGCUAGCCUUAAGUGUAAGAGUCUUGGAGGUAGAGCACUGAUUGGACUAGGGGUCCUCAUCGGAUUACCGAAUUCAGUCAAACUCCGAAUGCCAAUGACUUAUCCUUAGGAGUCAGACUGCGAGUGAUAAGAUCCGUAGUCAAAAGGGAAACAGCCCAGACCGCCAGCUAAGGUCCCAAAGUGUGUAUUAAGUGGAAAAGGAUGUGGAGUUGCUUAGACAACUAGGAUGUUGGCUUAGAAGCAGCCACCAUUUAAAGAGUGCGUAAUAGCUCACUAGUCGAGUGACUCUGCGCCGAAAAUGUACCGGGGCUAAAUACACCACCGAAGCUGCGGAUUGAUACCAAUGGUAUCAGUGGUAGGGGAGCGUUCUAAGGACAGUGAAGUCAGACCGGAAGGACUGGUGGAGUGCUUAGAAGUGAGAAUGCCGGUAUGAGUAGCGAAAGACGGGUGAGAAUCCCGUCCACCGAAUGCCUAAGGUUUCCUGAGGAAGGCUCGUCCGCUCAGGGUUAGUCAGGACCUAAGCCGAGGCCGACAGGCGUAGGCGAUGGACAACAGGUUGAUAUUCCUGUACCACCUCUUUAUCGUUUGAGCAAUGGAGGGACGCAGAAGGAUAGAAGAAGCGUGCGAUUGGUUGUGCACGUCCAAGCAGUUAGGCUGAUAAGUAGGCAAAUCCGCUUAUCGUGAAGGCUGAGCUGUGAUGGGGAAGCUCCUUAUGGAGCGAAGUCUUUGAUUCCCCGCUGCCAAGAAAAGCUUCUAGCGAGAUAAAAGGUGCCUGUACCGCAAACCGACACAGGUAGGCGAGGAGAGAAUCCUAAGGUGUGCGAGAGAACUCUGGUUAAGGAACUCGGCAAAAUGACCCCGUAACUUCGGGAGAAGGGGUGCUUUCUUAACGGAAAGCCGCAGUGAAUAGGCCCAAGCGACUGUUUAGCAAAAACACAGCUCUCUGCGAAGCCGUAAGGCGAAGUAUAGGGGGUGACACCUGCCCGGUGCUGGAAGGUUAAGGAGAGGGGUUAGCGUAAGCGAAGCUCUGAACUGAAGCCCCAGUAAACGGCGGCCGUAACUAUAACGGUCCUAAGGUAGCGAAAUUCCUUGUCGGGUAAGUUCCGACCCGCACGAAAGGUGUAACGAUUUGGGCACUGUCUCAACCAGAGACUCGGUGAAAUUAUAGUACCUGUGAAGAUGCAGGUUACCCGCGACAGGACGGAAAGACCCCGUGGAGCUUUACUGUAGCCUGAUAUUGAAUUUUGGUACAGUUUGUACAGGAUAGGCGGGAGCCAUUGAAACCGGAGCGCUAGCUUCGGUGGAGGCGCUGGUGGGAUACCGCCCUGACUGUAUUGAAAUUCUAACCUACGGGUCUUAUCGACCCGGGAGACAGUGUCAGGUGGGCAGUUUGACUGGGGCGGUCGCCUCCUAAAGUGUAACGGAGGCGCCCAAAGGUUCCCUCAGAAUGGUUGGAAAUCAUUCGUAGAGUGCAAAGGCAUAAGGGAGCUUGACUGCGAGACCUACAAGUCGAGCAGGGACGAAAGUCGGGCUUAGUGAUCCGGUGGUUCCGCAUGGAAGGGCCAUCGCUCAACGGAUAAAAGCUACCCCGGGGAUAACAGGCUUAUCUCCCCCAAGAGUCCACAUCGACGGGGAGGUUUGGCACCUCGAUGUCGGCUCAUCGCAUCCUGGGGCUGUAGUCGGUCCCAAGGGUUGGGCUGUUCGCCCAUUAAAGCGGUACGCGAGCUGGGUUCAGAACGUCGUGAGACAGUUCGGUCCCUAUCCGUCGUGGGCGUAGGAAAUUUGAGAGGAGCUGUCCUUAGUACGAGAGGACCGGGAUGGACGCACCGCUGGUGUACCAGUUGUUCUGCCAAGGGCAUAGCUGGGUAGCUAUGUGCGGAAGGGAUAAGUGCUGAAAGCAUCUAAGCAUGAAGCCCCCCUCAAGAUGAGAUUUCCCAUAGCGUAAGCUAGUAAGAUCCCUGAAAGAUGAUCAGGUUGAUAGGUUCGAGGUGGAAGCAUGGUGACAUGUGGAGCUGACGAAUACUAAUAGAUCGAGGACUUAACCAUAUAA